rnacentral:rRNA from 1 species
GUACACGUGUGACUAGCAUAUCAAUAAGCGGAGGAAAAGAAACUAACAAGGAUUCCCCUAGUAACGGCGAGUGAAGCGGGAAGAGCUCAAAUUUGAAAUCUUAAAGGGUUUCCCUUUACGAAUUGUAGUUUAAAGAAGUGUUUUCUGUUGAGGUUUUGGUAAAAGUUCUUUGGAAUAGGACAUCAUAGAGGGUGAGAAUCCCGUAUUUGACCUUUACUUUCAACUUUGUGAUACACUUUCAGAGAGUCCGGAUUGUUUGGGAAUGCAGUCCAAAAUGGGUGGUAAAUUUCAUCUAAAGCUAAAUAUUGGCGAGAGACCGAUAGCGAACAAGUACCGUGAGGGAAAGAUGAAAGAACUUUGAAAAGAGAGUUAAACAGUACGUGAAAUUGUCAAAAGGGAAGCGUUUGACACCAGUGUUGUUUUUCUGAAAAUCAAUUAAAGAACUGUUUAUGCUAAGCUGUUUAGACUUUAUCAGCUAUCUGUUUAGUUUUGAGCUUUUCUUUAAUGCACUUUUCAGUUAACAAGUCAACAUCAAUUUCUUUUGCUGUAAAAAAGCUUGAGGAAGGUGGCUUGAGAUUCGUCUUAAGUGUUUAUAGCCUCUUGCCUAUGCAGUCGGAGAGAUUGAGGUCUGCAGCGUAGAUCCUUCGGGGCUAAAUGCAUUUGUGCUAAGUUAUAGCAUUUUAUAGACAACUUGUUGACUAUGAUUUGUCUUGUAGCUUACUCGCUUAUGUUAUUUUACCUACGCUUAGGAUGUUGACGCGCGUGUGUGCGUG